GACGUAGGGCGCAAGCGUUGUCCGGAUUUAUUGGGCGUAAAGAGCUCGUAGGCGGUUUGUUGCGUCUAUCGUGAAAACCUGCAGCUUAACUGUGGGCUUGCGGUGGAUACGGGCAGACUUGAGUUCGGUAGGGGAGACUGGAAUUCCUGGUGUAGCGGUGAAAUGCGCAGAUAUCAGGAGGAACACCGGUGGCGAAGGCGGGUCUCUGGGCCGAUACUGACGCUGAGGAGCGAAAGCGUGGGGGAGCGAACAGG
rnacentral:rRNA from 1 species